rnacentral:rRNA from 1 species
GACGAACGCUGGCGGCGUGCUUAACACAUGCAAGUCGAACGAUGAACCCGGAGUUUGCUCCGGUGGAUUAGUGGCGAACGGGUGAGUAACACGUGAGUAACCUGCCCUUGACUCUGGGAUAACUGCGGGAAACUGUAGCUAAUACCGGAUACGACCCUCGGCGGCAUCGCCAGGGGGUGGAAAGAAUUUCGGUCAAGGAUGGACUCGCGGCCUAUCAGCUAGUUGGUGAGGUAACGGCUCACCAAGGCGACGACGGGUAGCCGGCCUGAGAGGGUGACCGGCCACACUGGGACUUAGACACGGCCCAGACUCCUACGGGAGGCAGCAGUGGGGAAUAUUGCACAAUGGGCGCAAGCCUGAUGCAGCAACGCCGCGUGAGGGAUGACGGCCUUCGGGUUGUAAACCUCUUUUAGUAGGGAAGAAGCGAAAGUGACGGUACCUGCAGAAAAAGCACCGGCUAACUACGUGCCAGCCGCCGCAGUAA